rnacentral:tRNA from 2 species
ACCGAAGUGGUGAAAUUGGUAGACACGCUAUCUUGAGGUGAUAGUACUUAAUUUAAAUAAGUAUAUGGGUUCGAUUCCCAUCUUCGGUA